rnacentral:rRNA from 1 species
GAUGAACGCUGGCGGCGUGCCUAAUACAUGCAAGUCGAGCGAACAGAUGAGGAGCUUGCUCCUCUUACGUUAGCGGCGGACGGGUGAGUAACACGUGUAUAACCUGCCUAUAAGACUGGGAUAACUUCGGGAAACCGGAGCUAAUACCGGAUCAUAUAUUGAACCGCAUGGUUCAAUAGUGAAAGACGGUUUUGCUGUCACUUAUAGAUGGAUCCGCGCCGCAUUAGCUAGUUGGUAAGGUAACGGCUUACCAAGGCAACGAUGCGUAGCCGACCUGAGAGGAUGAUCGGCCACACUGGAACUGAGACACGGUCCAGACUCCUACGGGAGGCAGCAGUAGGGAAUCUUCCGCAAUGGGCGAAAGCCUGACGGAGCCACGCCGCGCGAGUGAUGAAGGUCUUCGGAUCGUAAAGCUCUGUUAUUAGGGAAGAACAAAUGUGUAAGUAACUAUGCACGUCUUGACGGUACCAACUCAGAAAGCAACGGCUAACUACGUG